rnacentral:lncRNA from 1 species
AUGAACCAAAUCGAAGAGCGAUUAGCAGAAGAGGUCAGGAAACACGAGCACUUGUAUAACCCGUAUCGCACGGACAAGGACCCACAGACCGCGUACAAUUCCUGGAAGGUGAUCUCGGCCAGCGUUGGUUUGGAGGUGCUGGAUUGUUCGACGCUGUGGCGGAAGAUGAGGGACAGAUUUGUCCGCCAGAAUAAGGCCAUGACGGGCAGCGGUGACUCGAAAGCCACUGCCUUUUAUAUAUUCCUGUCGUGGUUGGAACCACACAUAAGACACAGAGAGACGUCGUCAAAAUACGAUAAGCCCUCACCUUGCAACGUAGCCACGAAGAAAGGACCUUCGUUAUCCACCUCAGUUUCUCGGCUCCCCAGUUUAUCGGCUCGGCGAUUAGCAGAGGAGGUCAGGAAACACGAGCACUUGUAUAACCCGUAUCGCAAGGACAAUGACCAACAGACCGCGUACAAUUCCUGGAAGAUGAUCUCGGCCAGCGUUGGUUUGGAGGUGCUGCGUUGUUCGACGCUGUGGCGGCAGAUGAGGGACAGAUUUGUCCGCGAGAAUAAGGCCAUGACGGGCAGCGGUGACCGGAAAGCCACUGCCUUUUAUAAAUUCCUGUCGUGGUUGGAACCACAUAUAAGACACAGAGAGCCGUCGUCAAAUUACGAUAAGCCCUCACCUUGCAACGUAGCCACGAAGAAAGGACCUUCGUUAUCCACCCCAACACCUGAGGCCCCCCCCGAAACAUCUACCUCUUCACCCGAGGCCUCUGUCCAGCCAUCCACCCCAACACCCGAGGCCUCUGUCCAGCCAUCCACCCCAGCCACACCUGAGGCCUCCCCCGAAACAUCCACCUCUUCACCCGAGGCCUCUGUCCAGCCACCCACCCCAACACAUGAGGCCUCCCCCGAGACAUCCACCUCAGUUUCUCCGCUCCCCAGUGUACCGGCUCUGUCCACCCCUCCAGCCGCCAUGAGGCUGGCAUCUCCUCUGUCCCGCAGGGGCCGGAAGAAAAGGCAGAGGGCGCAGAGGGGGAAGCACGACAGGCAGAGGUGGCAGAGAGGGCAGAGGGGGCAGUACGACAGGCAGAGGGGGCAGGAUGACGGGCAGAGGAGGCAGGACGACAGGCAGAUGAUCCGGCUGGACGGGCAGAGGAGGCAGGACGACGGGCAGAGAGGGCAGGACGACGGGCAGAGGAGGCAGGACGACAGGCAGAUGAUCCGGCUGGACGGGCAGAGGAGGCAGGACGACGGGCAGAGAGGGCAGGACGACGGGCAGAGGAGGCAGGACGACAGGCAGAUGAUCCGGCUGGACGGGCAGAGGAGGCAGGACGACGGGCAGAUGAUCCGGCUGGACGGGCGCAGGCUGGACGGGCAGAAGAAGAAGAUGGGGGUCAGGGAUGAGUAUUCUAGAUUUGGUGAGCUGGUGGCUGCUAUGAUGAGCAGGGUGCAGGAAGAUAAGAGGGCCGAAGCAAUGAACUCUGUGUACAGCCUGUUGGACAGAAGCAAUGCACUCUGGGUACAGCCUGUUGAACUGAAGCAAUGCACUCUGGGUACAGCCUGUUGGACUGAAGCAAUGCACUCUGGGUACAGCCUGUUGGACUGAAGCAAUGCAGACUGACUGUGUACAGUGUGACGACCCCUCCACGCCACUAGGAGUCUUUUCCCUCUUGCUGGCCCUUUUCCAGGUUUCCUGUUUGGAGUGGUGGGUCAUCAGGCCUGAUGAGUUACACCUGUGGCCGGUUUGGCUCUGUGGCCUAUACCAGCACUCCUUCUCCAGUUCCCGGGAGAGAUCCCUUCCCCGUUGCAGACGGCUGCGUUUUGACUGUUGUUAUCCUUAUUUCAUUAUCUUUGUAAUAAAUGAUUGUUACUUCGUUCA